rnacentral:misc_RNA from 1 species
AAGUCGUAACAAGGUUUCCGUAGGUGAACCUGCGGAAGGAUCAUUACAUUCAGUAGCCUAGCUACUUGUUUAUACCCUUGUUUUUUGCGUACCUAUUGUUUCCUCGGCGGGGUUUGCUCGCCGAUUGGACAAAAACUAUAACCUUUUUAAAUCUUCAAUCAGCGUCUGAAUUAUACAUAAUAAUUACAACUUUCAACAACGGAUCUCUUGGUUCUG